rnacentral:lncRNA from 1 species
AAAAGAGCCACAUCAUACACAGCAGAACUACUAAAUGAAGUAAUAUGCUGCAGUUCACGUAUGUCUCAAAGCCACUAUGAUGUUGCAAGCGCUCAUCGGGUAACUUUUCCUAGUGUCUGUUCUUGCUGCACGAUAUCGCAUUCAUUAACCUUUGUUCAACUGAUUUCAAUUGCAAACAAGUAGCUUUUCUUUCUGGGAAAAAGAAAAGAAAAGAAAGGUAGACUACAUUUUCCUUGAAUUCAAGUAUCCUAAUAAAUAAACAAAUUUGAAAAAUUUUCCUACAUAUUAUAGUAUUCAGUUGGUAAUUCAGUCAAGUAUUCUUCUAUCAUGACUGUAUUACAUCAUAAAGUAUAUAUGAUGUGUAAUUGAUAAAUGUAUCUGCUUCUCAUCACAUUCGAACACUACCUCUAGUGUUCUUACAGUUUUUAAUAUGUCUUUAAUCUGCAAAGGCAAAUCAUAAGUGUAUACCUUGCAAAAACAAAAAAGCUGCUAGUGAGAAAGCUAAAUUUAGUUAAACUAAAGUUUAGCCUCCAAUACUCAUCCACAAAGUUCUCUUGAGCUUUGUUUAGGUAAAAAAUAAAGCAUCCACAGAAUUACUAGCAUUAAGAAAAUGAAAUAAAGAAAGGAAUCCAUUGUCAAUCAAAAGCUUGCAGGUCAGAAUGGAGGUUGCUAAGUUAAAAAACUGAAUAAACAGAGAUCUUGUUGAUGCUUCAAUGAUGCCAUUAAAGAGUGUUAAGUUGUCAAAAAUGAUACUGCACAAUGACUUAAUCAUCUUAGUGCAUCAUUAAUCAAAUAUAAUGAAUCCAAAAAAUUCAUGCAUAGUGAGUUUGACAUUAAAAAAUUAUGCUUACAAUUGUGGUUCUAAUAUAAAAGCUCUAUCCACUAUUUACUAUAGGGAAAAAAAAUGCACCAAUUAACUGACCUCCACAAAGUAAAGAACACCAAACGUAUAAGCACGGACUGUAUCAACACGUUUAAUUUGAGGAUGAUGCCUUAAUACAAGGUAAGUUAACUUCUGCAGCAUCUCCGGUGGAGCUGACUGACCGACCAAAGAGACUGCCCAUAGAGCCAAAAAAAAGAUACAGAAAAUAAGUUAGUCAAAGAUAAACAAUGUGUGAGAGGUGGUUGUAAAAGACAUGAAAAAUAGGAAGAAGAAAAUGUCAGGUCAAAAGACCAGAUGAUUACUCGGCCACCUAAAAGUUUUAAUCUAACGAUUAUACAACCAACAGCUGCACAACAUGUUCUGGAUCCUGCUUAUAGCAGUUAUAUUUCUCUUGGUAAUGCUAUUUAGUUUGGCUGAUCAUACUGCAGUACCUUAUUUUGCUUGACAUGGAUAAACAGAACCAGAUAAUUACUAAUUACAAAUUGAUAAAGAAAAUGCAAGGCUUCACCACUGUAGACAUGCUAGCUUGCAUGUUUUGACCAACAUUGCCGAUGACAUUUUUCUUUUUUUCUCUUCUUUUCAGCAGAUUAAUGAGCACAUCCAACCUUCAAAAAGUACUCUCUAGCGGUCAAGUAUUCCAGGUCUGAAUUUCAGAAGACCUCUGCUCUUCUUCUUGUAUCACCAGUUUGGUAGAUAGGUUUAUAGCAGAAGGUUAGACUAAGCUGCCAGAUAGAAUUUACCAGUUUUCUCCUUUUCUUUAAAAAAAGUAACAUUAUAAUGUUUAUCUUCCCUUUUCUGGAAAGGAAAGAUAUAUCUUAAAAAAAUGAGACAUUAUAAUGUUUAAAAAAGUGACAUUAUAAUGACCUGAUAUAUCUUUCCUUUUAUGGAUAAAAAAAGUGACAUUAUAAUGUGUUUUUGUGUUUUCUGCUAUGAUGGUGUCUUUUUCCUAUUC